GACGCGUUCCCCGGGGGCGCGCGGCGGAGCGGCCUUCUCCCGCCGCGCCGCCCCGCCCCGCCCCGCCGCGCGUUACCUGCGAGGAGGCGCGGCGGGGGCGCCGUCUGCGGGUCAUGGUACGCUGCUGCUUCUUCCCCAGGACGCUUUCGCGUCGCCGCGCUCCGGAGCUGCUACGGUUGCUCUGGGUGUGUUACAUCAGUAGAAGCAUUACAGUUCACAGGAGGGAUCUACAGUCGAAGGCUGUUGCACUGCAAAGCAGAGUGAGGGAGGAAAACCACAGAGCUGUAUUCAAAUCACUGCUGUGACUGCUGCUGCUGCCGAACGGGAACACAAGGGCUAUAAGGUGACAACAGCCCCCUUACGCAGGCUGACUGGCAGGCCACUGAGCUGCGCCCUGUAGCUUCUGUCGGAACGCAGACACUGCUCACCAGGAACAACACACAGGACUGAAGUCGUCUUCAAAGUUAGGAGAGCUUUGUUAAGGAAAAUUGUGUUAAAAAACACCUGUAUGGAAUUGAAUGUAUGGAAAAAUUUAGUUGCAAGACAGCUGGGAAGUAAAUGGAAAAGAGGUAGGGAGAUAAAUUGAAACUAGGUAUUUUAUUAAGACUGUUUAUUGUGCCUAGAGAGAUACCCAAAACAGCGUUUUGUAACAGUCCUGUCUUUCAUCUUUUAAUGGGCUUUUCAGUUGUCCAGCACCCAAGUUAAAGUGGUUAAAAACCUUAUCUGCAUCUAGUCUGUUCUGUGAAACACACCAAAAGACUUACCUGACUGUGGCUGAGAGAGGCCUGUACACCAACUGAAACCAGAAACAAGCCACCAUAUAAAAUUAAUCUGCUUCCCAGCCACUCUGGAAAAGUUUCAGAUGUGUUGUGUCCAGUUCCGGUGCAUUUGCAGAGCAUGGAACUUCGUUACUGACAAAAAUAAUCAUUCUUAUGUUCCAGUUUUUGAGUGUACCUGGUCCUUACAGGACACGGUAUCAUUAAUUAAGUAGUAUGAGAUUAUUUCAUGUCUUGGAGUAUUUCUUACCAGAAGAGGCAUACAGUUACAAGAAACUGCACUUUUUCAAUGCACAGAGGAUAAGUACUGCAGCUACUAGCACCACUGGUAACUGCAUUCUGCAUGUAACAGCAGUCUUCAAGGAUAUCUUAAAAUGGAAGAGAGUUUGAGAUCUUAGAGAAAUUAGAGAUUUGAAAAUAAUAGAAGUUACAAUAUUAGAAAGAACAUAUUGCACUUAUAUAUUUGCCAAAAGAAGUGGAAUCUUCAAAGCAUUUAGUAAAAACAACAGACUUUACUCAUUACUCAUUAGGUGGUUUGUAGGCUUCUGAAAUUCCCACUUUGUUUUUUUUCCCAGCUAUAGUACAGCACGCAGAAUAAAUCACUCACAGGUGUUGAGGGAUGGAUUUUAAUUAAAUUAUAUCUUUCUGCCUUCACCACUACAUAAUAUUUUCCGUAUUAUCAUUACACACAAUAAAAAAAAUGACUUGGAGAAGGUUGCAUAACUCUUUCUGUUCCAGAGCCGUAUGCUCGCUUCUGGGCAAUGGGCUGGAUUACACAAAUUCACAAACUAUUUGGAAAUUGGCAGAAAGAGGCUUCAGUGAAAAAUGAAAGAGACAAACCCAAGUUUAAACUCGCUUUUCUCUGUUAAAACAUUAAAAUACAGAAAUAAACAGAUUUGCAUCUGAAAUAAGCCUGCAUCUGACAUAAGGCAUGCAGCCUUGUCUCACAGAGUCUUGGCUGGAAUGAGAAAAGCUUUAUCUUUUAAUGAGUCUAACAUACUUCCGUCUGGGGUAUGCUGCCAAAUCCAUAAACUCUGUAGAUUUCAACAUAGCAAGUGCUGGGAUACUGCUUUCAGGCUCUUGCUGCUUCACUAAGUUUAUCUAAGCAUCUCCCCUCUACCAAAAUAGAUGCACUCUAUUUGAGUAUCUGUAACCUGUACACAGAAUCGCUAAUUGCAAUAAUUUCAGUGGUUCAGAGCCUACCUCCAAGCAGUAGCAGUUCAGCCAAAGAGAGAUCCUGAAUAAUUAUAUUGCACAGACAACAACGGUGUCUUUCUAACCUCAGGAAUUAAUGCUUGACAGAAGCAGUAACAGCUCUCAUGCUUCAGUCCAAAACAUUGUUUUGGGGUUGUUUGGUUGGUUUUUUUUCCCCUAACUGCUGGAUUGGUUUUAUUUGGUUUCCUUGCUUUAACAGGGACUGACAGGAUGAUGUGUUGAAGGCAGUGGUCAUGGCUGCUUUUUGAGACACCCCUAAUGCUCCCAGAUAUAUAAUAUUAGUCUAAUACAACUUUAAAUUUUUUAACCUUAUCUUCAGGGUGUAACUGCAAGAACAGAAAGCCCCAGCAGUUGUUAGGAGUCCAGAUGCAGCCUCAAGCCAAUGGCUAGAAAGAAUUACAAACAGUAAGGAGAUGGGGAUAAGAAUUUAGAUUGUCACCUUGAAAAUAAUAGCAUUGCUCUCAGCCAGCAAAAGAAAAGAUGCCAUUUAUGAAUCUAAGUAAACUGGCUUCAAAUAGCUAUGUUCAGGGCUUCACUAUGACUACCAGAAUGAAACCUCCUGGCUUUCACUGUCGUUCAGCAGGACUAGGAUAAGCAGACUUUCAGUUUCAGCACAUUUAUUUAGGAAGUAGCACUACUGUUUGCAUUAAUUUUAAGAACUUGAAUUAUGUCCACGAGAAAUUAAAUGGGAUAUUUACAUAUUUAUUGUUCCAUCAUCUGGUAUACAACACCUGGGGUAUUUUUAUUUAUUUUCAGUACCAGCAGCAAUUGCAUAGGCUUCAGGUUCAAUGGAAAGGCUCUUAGUUUGGACAUUUUAUCUGGUAGACAGACAAGAAAACAGUAAGAACGGGACAAAUGAAAUAUUUUAUUGUGAAGCUAAAGCUGUGUGACUGCUCAUCAUGCUUUUUUACAUUGCUUAUUAAUAAAAUGGUGUUUAACAUUUCAGAAAACAUAUUAAAAGAACAAUGAAACAAAAGUGCUCCAAAACAACAAAAUACAAGAAUUAAUCCCAUCCCAGACUGGAGUCCAAUAUAUUUAAUGGGGGUGGGGUUUACUCUUUUGUCUCCACCUUUGGUCUUUGUCACUUUAAUCCAGAUUUCUGAAAAACACUGGCUAGCCCUUCACAUGAAUAAAAAUUAGAAUCAUGGCAAAAACCAGUUUCUGUAUUUCCAGUCCCUCUGAUAGGUGUGCGACUAUUAGAUAAAGUACUUACUUCCCCACUCCUAAUGGUAAAGAACUCACAGAACUGGGAGGCUACGCCCCUAGCCUCUUAGAAGAAUACACCUGUAUUAACCAGCUACAAAGAAUGCUGACUUUUUUCCUCAAAUCCACUUCUCUGAAACAGGACUAAGUGGUGAAUCUUAUGAAGGUGAGGAGAGUCUUACAGCAAAACAAGAUUGAUCACUGUAGUUUCCAGACAUCAUGUCAAGAAUUUGCAAAUCGAAAUAUCAAACUCUGCAGAACCCAGUGUUUAGCCAAUAUAUUUAAUCCACUGGAGUGUAACUUGCCGAUUAUUGCCGAACUCAGGAGGUAGUUAUUGACAAGUAAACAGUUUCCACUCUAAGACAGUUAACGAUUUACAUGAGAAGCAGGAAAAACACAAUGCAUAUUUCCCCAUACUUCAGAAGAUGAUUUUGUAUUUGCAGGAAGCAACGGUUUAACUUCCUCAUCCUGUGGAAUUGUAGUUACGAUAUUUGAAAGAAAAAAUACUGAAAAGAGUAUUUCAAGAAAAAACUCUAAAAGAACAUAACUGAUUCUUUGGUCAUCUCUUGGGAUGACCAACAGAUCAUGAAAAUUCACAGAGGUGAGUAAAACAACAUCCAACACUAAAUAGCAGCUUCAGAGAACCCAACAAUGAAACCAGCAACUGCCUCUAAUUAGCACUACGACUGAGAUAACUAGUUGCAUUCACUACCUGCUUGAUGCUUUUCAUUCUACUUUGGAUAUCUGAUAGAAGUCCCCAACAACUAAAACCAUCACAGAAGCUUGAGACUGCCACAGACAAUGAAUGAAAAUCUGCAACCUACCAUAGCACUUGCCACCUCCCAAAGCUGCCACACACACAAGCAUCACUAAAGCACUGGAGUAGCCAGAUAAGCACAUCUUAAGCGCAACAAUGCACUAUCCAUUUCUUGGGUAGGAAAGCACUGUAAGAAUCUAGGGCCCAAAUUCUCACAUGGGUGGUUAAGGAAGCCCCAAGAAGAAUGCUGCUUUCCAUACCAGUUGCAGAACAGACAUCCCAGUUAAGUUUGCUAGCAUAUCUCACUCGAGCAUUCCCAGUGCAAGUACUUAAAUUUCACAAGAUGGACUUGGCAGCAGUGCCAAGAAGAGCUAAAAAAAUGCUUGUUUAGAAUAGAAAAACUAUUUAUUCUACACCAGAAGGUAAGGUUAAUUGUCUAAGUAUAAAAUCUGUCAUUUUGAAAACAUAUGAGAGCAUCCUAACAGUGAAAUCUGCAAUGGCCUCUAAUUAGUGCAGCGACAACAAAUUCUUCCCUCUAUUGAGAUCCCAUUCUUCUCCAUUUUGAAGUGUUACUAUCACAUUUAUCAUCUACAUAAAGUAAGUUGCAGGGCCAUAUUUAACAAAAUUGUUUUAGUGACUGACUUUCUGAAGUAGUUAGUAAGACAUCUCAGGGGCAGAAUGCCUUGUUUCUAACAACCUAAGCUGUGUAAAGUCUAAGAAACUAACAGGACACAGACUUACAUGUACAUAAAUAUCCUAGUUUAAGGCUUAUGUUGAAUAUUCAGUGUUGUUUUUAGUGUUCACUGAAAAGUGUUUACUUGUCUGAGCCACAAGUGGGGAACCUGUACAGGUUUGGUGCACUCUACAGAAAAGUCAAUGUUAGGUAAGGGGAACAUCAUAACACACAACAAAUUCUCAUUUUAAGGAGAAAGAGGACCACACAGUGCUUCAGUUAAGUUUUUCCUUCCUGUUAUGCCACCAAAAGCAGCAACACCACCCAAGCAGCAUUCUGCAUGCUCUUCCAACACCCAAAAAGUCAGAAGAUGGUACGUUUCCUGCUUAAUAAAAAGAGAAGGUUGUUAAAAAAACAGGAGGCUUGGGUGUUUUUUUUCCCCUCCCUCCAGUAACUGCUACACUUCAAGUCAGUAAAACACACUAGCAGACUGCCAGACAAGCUGCUUCCCCACCAUUGCAAGAAAGUGGGUCAGGUCACUCAUUAAUAAUGGGCAGAUUCACAAAGAAAAAAAAAAAAAAAAAGAGGCAGUCUAGAAAACAGAUGUAAUGCCACUCUUUGCAAAGGUUAAAAGCAUCCAAGCUGCUGUCCCGCUUAUCCUAUCCUAAUUCAAGAUACUGUAUUUUAUGGUAAAUAUAGUUGCGAAGUUUUAUAUAAAAUAUAAAAUACAGGUAAUUGAGGGUUUUCUGGGGAGGGGAUGGUGGUGGUGGUGCAUAUUUUUGGGUUGGUUCUUUUUUCAGAUCUGCCUUUAUACACAGUUAAUCCAACAGCUAGGUAAAAAUAACUGAGCUGGUAGUUCGUCACUACAUGUAAAUCAAGAAACCAGAAGAGGCGAGAUAACGUCUUGGGGGAACAGAAUUAUUCUUAAAAGACGCUAUUCAGAAGACAGCAUAAGACAGACAUUUAAAGGUGAUCUAUGAACUAAACAGCACUUGGUCAUGGGCCAGCAGCUGUGGGGCAAACUGAUGUUACGGAACGAAAUUAUUACUGUGUUCCAACACUAAUUUAUAGAGCUGCAGUUCAUCCAUUAUGCAGAAAAUAAUCAGGGUGGAAUAGAUAAUCAAAAAGCCAUGGAUGGUACCAAUCACACAGAUUCUCUUGAUCAGAACUAGAUGUACAAACAAGGGACAGGGCUAGUCCCUUUUCUUUUUGAAGUAGCAGCUCUGACUUAUGACCCUUUGUGAUGCAUAUUGGUGGUCUUUUAGCAGAUGGGAACUCUACCUCAACAUUACAGGUACCUAUUGCAUGCCGACAGGUAUGUAUUUGAAAUAAAUACCAGUAUAUUCCUCAAAAUUAAGUAGAGGAAAACAGAAUUUGGUAAUUUAGCAUAAGCUAAAUACGUAGGAACACUCAAACCCAGAAGAGUUCAAAUUUCAAAAUUCUCAUUUGCAAAGGAUCUCAAGGAAAGUUUACAAGCUUUAUGUAGAAGACCACCAAGGGCCUUUCCCAGCUGUUCAGCUAUUUGGCAGAUUCUAAUAAAGCAGUAAUAUUCAUGUGCAGCACUAUGAAAUCUAUGACAAACAUGGAUCAAGUCAGCCAGGAAUCUCCAACAACAGAGCUGGUCUACUGGAGACAGAACUAAUGCAAAGCAAGCAAGAUGUAAGAUUUAAAACUGAAAUCUUUUAGCAUUUCUCACUUCUCCAGGAAAAGUGUGUCAGGGGAACAGGAGUCACAUAUUUCAUUUACAUCAGACAUACAUUUGAGAGAGUCAUACACUUAGAAGGCUAGAAUGGGUUUGGUUAGACUAUUUCAAAAGGCAUACUAGUGGAACACCAUCUUUUUUAACAGCUUUUAAUCUUAAGAUCAGUCCAAAGCACCUCUGGUUCAAAAGAAGAGAAUCCCAAACAUUGCAUCUGUGCACCUGAAAAGUUCAACAGUUUCUGCUAUUUACUACUCAAUACUAUGCAGUGAGCAGAGUCCUCUCUCGGUAUUACUACGCUUAUACUGCAUCUAUCAGCUAGGGAUUUGUUUUCAUAUAUAUAUAUUAUAUUAUUUUUAGUCAACUUUCAGGUGAGUAGUCAAAGAAAUAUUUGACUUACUCUUAACAAUAAAAAAUAAGUUAAAUGAAGAAUUAAGACAAAAUUUUCUGUUAAGACCAAAAGCAAACAAAGCUUAUAACUCAGUUUAGUUAAAACAACUCUAAACAAUAUGCAUUUUUGUAGUAUCACUAAGUUGGGAGAGUUGUCUUUAAAAAAAGUUAAUAAAGUAAACCCAACAAAACCCCACAGACCUGUUCUAACAAGGAACUGGUGGUCUGCCUUGCCAACAUCCGUGUUUAAUCCAUACAGAAUUUGUAAACAAGAUGUCAGGCCUUUAGAAGUAAAGGCAAAGAUGUCUUCCUUUAUUACAGUAUUUAAAGGCUAUCACUUAAGUGUGUUUAAUAGCUUGUCAUUUAUAUAAUAAAAACAAGUAUUUGUACAAAGAUGCAGUUUCUUUUUAAAAAAGCAGAUCAGUUGAGUGUUUUGUACUUUAAUAUAUAAACCAAAACAUAAGAAAGCUAUAAAAACAUUAAUGUGUGCUAUGUAUUAAACAUGUAGCCUCAUAUUUUAAUGCUUACAUGUGGAGAUUAAAAAAAUUAUCACAAUGGAAAUUUUACUUUCAAUUAUCAUAAACAGACCAAAAUACAGAGUAGAAACACAUCAUUUCUGAAACUUGACAAUUAGCAUUACUUACUCUCAAACAUCAGCUGGGCUUCAAGUUGUACACCGUAAGCAUAAGCUAACAUUCUACCAAUGGAAGUGUUACAAAAUGCAUUAAGAGAAAAUACUGCCAGUAAAUGAAUGUCUUUCUUAGUCUUUCUUUUUAUCUAGUAAUUAUUUUUUUAAAAGAGAGAGUAUGAAUUGGUUUUAUAGGGUUGGGGUUUUUUGCUGUUCUGCUAUCAAAGGUCUUCUUCAAAACUGUUCUGUGAACAACACAGUCACAUUUCAACUAAAUAAAAAGACAAAUAAUAACAGACCAGCUGCUUUUUACAUUUUAAUAAUUGUAAUUCCCCAAUGCUAUUCUUCCUUUCUGCAAAGGGAAAUCGUUUUAUUUGGCACAUUAAGGAUAA